AACGCAUCUUGCGCUCCUUGGUAUUCCGAGGAGCAUGCCUGUUUGAGUGUCAUUCAACUUCUCAACCACAUUCGUUCAUUUGAUUGUGGCUUGGAUAAUGGGGGUUUUUGUUUGCAGGCUUCUUAAUUAAUCUGAGAGGUCGGCUCCCCUGAAAUGUAUCAGUGGUAUCUGAGGCUAUUGCUAUAGGUGUGAUAAUUAUCUAUGCCCUUGGUUGUGCCGCAUGGAACUGCUUCCAACAAAGAUGAUCUUUUUGAUGAAUUUGACCUCAAAUCAGGUAGGACUACCCGCUGAACUUAA
rnacentral:misc_RNA from 1 species